rnacentral:rRNA from 1 species
ACUCAAAGGAAUUGACGGGGGCUCACACAAGCGGUGGAGCAUGUGGCUUAAUUCGAAGCAACGCGAAGAACCUUAUCCAGGGCUUGACAUGCACGGAUUAACCCGGUGAAAACCGGGCCACGCCCGCAAGGGUGGAACGUGCACAGGUGCUGCAUGGCUGUCGUCAGCUCGUGCUGUGAAGUGUCGGGUUAAGUCCCUUAACGAGCGAAACCCCUGCCUCUAGUUGCUACCGGGUCAUGCCGGGCACUCUAGCGGGACUGCCGGUGUCAAACCGGAGGAAGGUGGGGAUGACGUCAAGUCCUCAUGGCCUUUAUGCCCUGGGCUGCACACGUGCUACAAUGGCGCGCACAAAGCGACGCGAGGCCGCAAGGCGGAGCAAAUCGCAGAAAACGCGCCCCAGUUCAGAUCGGGGUCUGCAACUCGACCCCGUGAAGCCGGAAUCGCUAGUAAUCGCGGAUCAGCUACGCCGCGGUGAAUACGUUCCUGAGCCUUGUACACACCGCCCGU